CCAAUUUAUAUUGCUCACUGUGGAAUCAUGUCCAUAAUGCCCACACUAAAGAAUAAACCUCACAAUCGAAUCGUAUAAUUAAUACAUCAUGAGUAGAAAUAAUCGAUUAGUGUUGCACAAAAAAAUAACGAAAUUACGAUUGGAAAUCUUCAUUAAAGACAGUGGCGAAGUAUUAAAAAUCAAUAUUUUGCGUUUAUUGUAGUCAUGCCAAAAUAUCAUCAUAUUAUCAUAGUUUUAUUGACAUUAGCACAACUAUGUUUCACUGCGACUAUUCUUCGAAGAAAUGGCGAAGUACCAAAGAAUUGUGAGCCGCCAGAAAAGCCAAUAUGUGCUUAUUAUUUCUAUCCAUAUUAUUAUUACUAUCCAGUUAUGUAUCCAUAUUACUAUUAUUAUUAUCCAGCUUACAUAUACGGAUAGAAAAAUUCUAUAAAACAAAACAGAUUAUUAAUAUUGUUUAAAAUAAAUUCAUCCUGUAUUCAA